rnacentral:rRNA from 1 species
UACGAAGGGGGCUAGCGUUGUUCGGAAUCACUGGGCGUAAAGCGUACGUAGGCGGAUGCUUAAGUCAGAGGUGAAAGCCUGGAGCUCAACUCCAGAACUGCCUUUGAUACUGGGCGUCUUGAGUCCGGGAGAGGUGAGUGGAACUGCUAGUGUAGAGGUGAAAUUCGUAGAUAUUAGCAAGAACACCAGUGGCGAAGGCGGCUCACUGGCCCGGUACAGCCGCUGAGGUACGCAAGCGUGGGGAGCAAACAGG